rnacentral:misc_RNA from 1 species
GGGGUACAAAGCUUUUCGAGAGAACAGCUCCUUCGACAUAUUGUGUACGUGAUCCUUACAGGAAAGAUCCUGGUGAUGCUAAUGCCAUUCUCUCCGCAGCUAGGGAAAAAAUUCGAAUGUUUAAAAAUGAGUAUGUGAAUGGAGAAGAAACAGAGGAUGUUGAGAAAGAGGUUGAAAGGGAUGAUGAGUCUGAAAGUGAUGCGGCUGAUGAUCCUGAAGUUGAUGAUUUAGUCUCCGAGCUAAAAUUUGCAGAGACUCCUGAGACUCAAAAAAUCGAUAGAACUGAUGGACGGAGUUCUAGUUUUGACUUGACUCAGACACCGGAAGAUCUCUGUAUGCAGAAUUCAACCGCAAUAAUGCAUUCAGUAAAUUUCGGGGAGUUAAAAGCAACUGCUG